rnacentral:rRNA from 1 species
AGCAGUCGCCACGGUAAUACGAAGGGGGCUAGCGUUGCUCGGAAUGACUGGGCGUAAAGGGCGCGUAGGCGGUUUGUACAGUUGGAUGUGAGAUUCCUGGGCUUAACCUGGGGGCUGCAUUCAAUACGUGCAGGCUUGAGUGGGGAAGAGGGUCGUGGAAUUCCCAGUGUAGAGGUGAAAUUCGUAGAUAUUGGGAAGAACACCGGUGGCGAAGGCGGCGACCUGGUCCUUGACUGACGCUGAGGCGCGAAAGCGUGGGGAGCAAACAGGAUUAGAUACCCCCGUAGUCCCUGUCUCUUAUAC